GCCUACAGCCACAGCUCGUCUGCCAGAAGUGCAAGUCAGCCUCUGGUGGGCUCAAUAACAAGGCCACCAGGAGCCACAGAACACAAGACAUGUGGUGACACCAUCAGCAUUAAGGCUUUUAAAAUUCUAACACGCAGGCUUUUAAGAGCAGGCAGAGUCUAGCCUUAGAGGAAAGACUGAUUGGUGCUUGGAUAAAGCUGGGUCUGCAUAGCAGGUUAUCUUGGUGUAAACUGUAUGUGGCCACACAUCUGGCAGUGUUCCAGAAGAAUCCUAGUCAAGUCACACUUCAUGUAAACAUACUAGAAGGUGACCUGGUCAGAAGCAGUCUGGUUGAAAUCUAGUUGGUUCAAGUUGGUCCAAGAUUUGAAUUCUUUGUUUGGAGUCCAGUUCGGCCCAUCAUGGUGAGGCUUUGUAUGGAGUUUAGCUCACACUUGGGCUCACGGCUUUUACUUCCUGAACCAACAUUUAAAACAAGGAUUUUCUCAAAUGGAUGUCAAGCCUAGUGUUAGAAAUGUACCAGAACACCAUGGAGAUCACUAAAAAGCCCUUUCUUUUCUCAUCUUGCUUCUUUAUUUCUGAAGCCAAUGCCACUCCUUACAGAAAAUACACCAAAGCUGCCUACCUACAGAGAGAAUCAUCAAUACCCAACCUAGUCUUUGUUUUUCAUGUAAAAAUAAACCUGUAAUACCU